rnacentral:rRNA from 1 species
UACGUAGGGUGCAAGCGUUGUCCGGAUUUACUGGGUUUAAAGGGUGCGUAGGCGGUUUUCUAAGUCAGUGGUAAAAGGCAUCGGCUUAACCGGUUGUAUGCCAUUGAUACUGGAAAACUUGAGUUCAGACGAGGUGGGCGGAAUUUGUGGUGUAGCGGUGAAAUGCAUAGAUACCACAAGGAACACCGAUUGCGUAGGCAGCUCACUAGGGUGAUACUGACGCUGAGGCACGAAAGUGCGGGGAUCAAACAGG